rnacentral:rRNA from 1 species
GACGAACGCUGGCGGCGUGCCUAAUACAUGCAAGUCGAGCGAUGAUUAAAGAUAGCUUGCUAUUUUUAUGAAGAGCGGCGAACGGGUGAGUAACGCGUGGGAAAUCUGCCGAGCAGCGGGGGACAACGUUUGGAAACGAACGCUAAUACCGCAUAACAAUGAGAAUCGCAUGAUUCUUAUUUGAAAGAAGCAAUUGCUUCACUACUUGAUGAUCCCGGGUUGUAUUGGCUAGUUGGUAGUGUAAAGGACUACCAAGGCGAUGAUACAUAGCCGACAUGAGCGGGUGAGCGGCCACACUGGGACUGAGACACGGCCCAGUCUCCUACGGGAGGCAGGAGUAGGGAAUCUUCGGCAAUGGGGGCAACCCUGACCGAGCAACGCCGCGUGAGUGAAGAAGGUUUUCGAAUCGUAAAACUCUGUUGUUAGAGAAGAACGUUAAGUAGAGUGGAAAAUUACUUAAGUGACGGUAUCUAACCAGAAAGGGACGGCUAACUACGUGCCAGCCGCCGCGGUAA